UCAUGAAAUGACUCUCGGCAACGGAUAUCUAGGCUCUUGCAUCGAUGAAGAACGUAGCGAAAUGCGAUACUUGGUGUGAAUUGCAGAAUCCCGUGAACCAUCGAGUCUUUGAACGCAAGUUGCGCCUGAAGCCAUUAGGUUGAGGGCACGCCUGCCUGGGCGUCACAC
rnacentral:rRNA from 1 species